CAAUGUCCAUUCUCAUAUCAUCUCAGAAGCUAAGCAGGGUUGGGCUGGUUAGUACUUGAAUGGGAGACAACUGGGAACACCAAGUUCAACAGUGG
rnacentral:rRNA from 1 species